rnacentral:lncRNA from 1 species
UUUUUUCAAUUAAAGUCAUCACGUGUCACAACACAUCAUAACGUAUGGUGAAAAAUAAUAAAAAAAAUACAAAUCAAUAAAAUUUAUAAAAAAAUUAUAAAAUGUUUCUUUUGGUAUGAUAAUUUUUAUAAAAAAAAUUUACAAAGAAUAUAUUUCUUUACAUUUUGUAUAUUUUUCUUACAACUUUAUAAAAUUUUAUAAUUUUUUUACAUUUCUAUAUGUAGUAAGCCAAAUUCGCCCGGCCCAUUAGAAUCAAACCAAAUAGUAAAAAGCCCAAUAAUUAAAUAAAUGUCCAUUCAGUUAAUGUCCUAUUACAGACCCAAUAACUAAACCAUGACCCAAGAUCCAAUUUGAACUUAACCCAAAUUUACAUGGCCCAAUAGGCCCAGAACAUUAAACCAAGACAAACCCUAAAUCACCCCCUGUCUCCCUUGCGCCGCAACCCUAAUCACCAGCAACCCCCAGCGUCGUACACUCCUCCUGGCGCCACGCCCACACCCCGUACGCCAGCACACGCCCUCGUACACACACCACGCACUUGUACCUGCAAAGAAAUGGACAAAACGACAACAGCAACAAUGGCCAAUACGAAAAAGAACAAAAUUGUAUUUUUUAUUUCUUUUUUGAACAUUCGGCUAUAAAGCCGAUGAUUUUAUAUUGUAGGGGGUUCCUUUUUUACGCGCAUUUACGCAUACAGAAGCAAUAGAGAACAAAAACAGAGCAAGGUGAUUUUCUGCUUUGAACCUCUGAAAUCAUUACGUUUUUUUUAUCUACUCCCUUCGAUUUUCUUCCCUUUUGUUGUAUUUAAAUCAAAAGAAAAAUAAAAUAAGAGACUCACCUCGUUACUAGGCCAUCGGUACCCUUCCGCUUCGUCGAAAUCGGAGUUAGAAGGGGAAUCUGAGGCUAAAAUAGACCGUGCUCCGAAGUCCCGAGCGCUGGACGCCGCACCUUGCGGCGGACUGGUGUUUUCGAGGGAGAGAUUUGAAGUGCGGCUAAUAAAAGGGGUUAGGGUUCGGAGCAUUGAAAGUCUGAUAAAAUGGGGGUUUUAUAUGCGCGUGGGAACGACGUCGUUGAAGGCUUUGUCCACACGGCCUCAAAAUGGCGUCGCAUAAGCCUAUUUGACCCGACCUAAUCCUUUGACCCUGGGAUCCGCGCAUUUCCGCGGUGAGGGGGUAUUUUCAGCAUAGGUCCUUCCUCUUUUGUGCGACAUUUCAAUCAGCCAUUUUGUAUUAUUUUCGUUCUUUCUAAAUUCGCCCCAUAAAUUCAUACAUAAGUGCGAUUUAAUCCGCGCCUAAACACUGCGUUUUGGGAAUUGGAUAAUUUCCAGUCUAGGUCCUUACAUAGUUGCGCGCUCCGCACUUUGGUAAUUCUUUUUGAUUAUUUUAUUUAUAAAUUAGCCCAUUUAUUUUGAUUGAAUUUUUCAUUAGAUCUCAUUGAUUUGUACAGUUCAUUACCCUUGUAAAUUCACUUUAAUCUCUUUUAUAUACAUGUGCAUGCAUACUUUUUAAACUUUCAUGAUGAUUUCAUUACUUUAUUAUCAUAUUAUUUUACAAUAUUUUUAUAUAAAUACUUCAUUUG